rnacentral:rRNA from 1 species
GUGAGGAAUAUUGCGCAAUGGAGGCAACUCUGACGCAGCCAUGCCGCGUGCAGGAAGAAGGCGCUACGCGUUGUAAACUGCUUUUAACCGGGAAGAAACCCCAGGACGUGUCCUGGGUUGACGGUACCGGAGGAAUAAGCACCGGCUAACUUCGUGCCAGCAGCCGCGGUAAUACGAAGGGUGCAAGCGUUAUCCGGAUUCAUUGGGUUUAACGGGUGCGUAGGCGGCGCGUUAAGUCAGUGGUGAAAUCCUGCAGCUUAACUGUAGACGUGCCAUUGAUACUGGCGCUCUUGAGUGCGCUUGAAGUAGGCGGAAUGUGCCGUGUAGCGGUGAAAUGCUUAGAUAUGGCACAGAACACCAAUUGCGAAGGCAGCUCACUAAGGCGAUACUGACGCUGAGGCACGAAAGCGUGGGGAUCGAACAGGAUUAGAUACCCUAGUAGUCC